AACCAUGGUUUUUAGGCACAUUGACCAAUCACAGAUCAGUAUUUCGGUACAUUGCUGAGCAAGUGCAUAGACGACGAUAAAUCAGCUUUGCACGAAAUGAAGAGGAGCGGAGCGCUUAAUAUCGAUAUUUGCCGAGCUGUGAGAACAUCUAAAUUUUUGAAUGGAUGAAAACAUCUUACAAGUUAACAUGCACAGGCUGUCCUGAGAGACUAUUAAAGGAGGAUUGUAAGAGAGGAAUAUGCCAACAAGAACUGCAAUGAGGAGUCGUUGACAGGAGGAAACUUUUUAAAAGAGACCACACACUACCUCAUCAACAUGCUUGAAGAUGAUCUGAGCCUGAAGAGGGACAAAGGGCCUAGUGAUAGACUAUCUUUCUGCAAGUAUUGACAAUUC